UACGGGAGGUGCAAGCGUUGUUCGGAGUGACUGGGCGUAAAGAGCGCGUAGGUGGCGCGAUACGACCGGUGUGAAAUCCUCCGGCUCAACUGGAGGGGUCACUGGUAACGGUCGUGCUGAUGAGUGCAGGAGAGGGACGUGGAACUCCGGGAGUAGCGGUGAAAUGCGUAGAUAUCGGGAGGAACACCUGUGGCGAAAGCGGCUCACUGGACCAUAACUGACGCUGAUGCACGAAAGCUGGGGGAGCAAACAGG
rnacentral:rRNA from 1 species